rnacentral:tRNA from 1 species
AAGAUCCUAGCUUAAUUAAAGCACCUGGUUUGCAUUCAGGGGAUGUAGGUUAAUGGCCUACGGAUUUUA